ensembl:misc_RNA 7SK 7SK RNA
GGAUGUGAGGGUGAUGUGGCUGUGACAUCUGUCACCCCACUGAUCACCAGGAUUGAUUCAGUUGAUCUGGCUGGCUAGGCAGGUAUCCCCUACCUCCCUCACUGGCUCUAAGUGCAUCCCUCCGGAAGCUGGGCACUUGGUCGAAGAGGACGACCAUCCCCAAGAGAGGAGGACCGGUCUUCCAUCAAGGGUAUACAAGUAGCUGUGCUCUCCCACUAGAACCUCCAAACAAGCUCCCAGGGGUAGCUAUACAUAAAACCAACUUUGAGUCAAAAAAGGUAAUAAAAAAAAGAUGAUGAAGGUCAUUUUUUAAUGA